GACGAACGCUGGCGGCGUGCUUAACACAUGCAAGUCGAACGGAAAGGCCCUGCUUUUGUGGGGUGCUCGAGUGGCGAACGGGUGAGUAACACGUGAGUAACCUGCCCUUGACUUUGGGAUAACUUCAGGAAACUGGGGCUAAUACCGGAUAGGAGCUCCUGCUGCAUGGUGGGGGUUGGAAAGUUUCGGCGGUUGGGGAUGGACUCGCGGCUUAUCAGCUUGUUGGUGGGGUAGUUGCUUACCAAGGCUUUGACGGGUAGCCGGCCUGAGAGGGUGACCGGCCACAUGGGGACUGAGAGACGGCGCAGACUCGUACGGGAGGCAGCAGGGGGGAACAUUGCGCAAUGGGCGGAAGCCUGAUGCAGCAACGCCGCGUGCGGGAUGACGGCCUUCGGGUUGUAAACAGCUUUCGCCUGUGACGAAGCGGGAGUGACGGUAAUGGGUAAAGAAGCACCGGCUAACUACGUG
rnacentral:rRNA from 1 species